AAAAAUAUUUAAUUAAGAUAGUCAGAAUCGAACAAGGUACUGUACAAUAAUCAAACAAUCAUUGGUUGAUAAGUCUAUGAUUUUAAUUAAUUAUAACAUUUGAUCAUUUGUUCUCAGAUAAUCUGAACUGUUUGAAUCACAUGAUUACGAAUAACACUAACGAGUUAGCUACACAACAGUAUCUAAACAAUAUUCCAACUUAAUCAAUGUAUAUAUUCUACUCUACAUUAAAUCAAGCACACCUGAAUGCUAAGUAAAUAUUCUACUCUACAUCAAGCACACCUGAAGUUUAACAUUCAGAACGAGAAAUGAGCGAUUAGCGCUGAAACAAAAAUAAAAGAAAUUGAUUUCCCUGUAGUUGUAGCAACAUUAGUUGUAGCAACAUUGCGAACAAUUGGUUUAGUUUGUUCCAUCAGCCAAUCGUACUGCUUC
rnacentral:lncRNA from 1 species